rnacentral:rRNA from 1 species
UACGUAGGGUGCGAGCGUUAAUCGGAAUUACUGGGCGUAAAGCGUGCGUAGGCGGUUCGUUAAGUCUGUCGUGAAAGCCCUGGGCUCAACCUGGGAAUUGCGAUGGAUACUGGCGAGCUAGAGUACGGUAGAGGAUGGUGGAAUUCCCGGUGUAGCGGUGAAAUGCGUAGAGAUCGGGAGGAACACCCGUGGCGAAGGCGGCCAUCUGGACCAGUACUGACGCUGAGGCACGAAAGCGUGGGGAGCAAACAGG